rnacentral:lncRNA from 1 species
GGUCACCUUCACCUCACCUUCACCUCCUACUUCACGAGUUUCCCUUUCCAGAAACCCAUUCUAUCUUUUCUUCCUCCUUCAAACUUCUUUCUACCACAACUUUCAUUCUACAACUCCAAUUCUUGCGCCGUUUCCGCCAUUUGGAUCGUAGGAACGAUCUCUACAAGAAAGGUAAACCAUUCUUGGAGUUGGUUAAGUUUCGAAAAUCUCCUCUUUUUGAGUUAGUGACUGAUUAGGCUUUAAUAUCUUGUUUCCAAGUGUGGUUUGGGAGAAUGGUGGUCGCUGGACAGCUCAUUGAAGGUUGAGGAUUACUUUGGAGCUGUUAAGGUAAGAUUUGUUUACCACACUUGCUGCUGGAAUUCUAAAGUACAUUGAUUUAAGUGAGAUUGUAUAAGUGAUUUUAGAUGUUAUUUGAUGAUAUGCAAUUACACUAGGUGAAGAAUCUACCUUGGGCUGAACCUACAGAGAACUCAGAGUAAUUUUUGGGUUGAAGUGGAAGUUGGGUAAGUUUCUACUACUUUUGAGAAGUUGUGGCUUUUAAAGUAGUUGUUGUUGUGUUGGAUUAGUCUAGUUUAUAGGGAGAUAACCAGCGCCUUGACCCCCUUGCUCUUUUAAUUUAGAGCAGGACUAUUCACAUUGUUCCAAAAGCUGCUUAGAACUGAAUGUCAAAGAAUGAGAUGGAUGUUGACAGAAUCUGCAUUUAUGCAGAAAUCUGAGUAUGUGUUCUGUUCUGGACAGAAUGACCUAGUUCACACUUACGUUUUAAACUGGGUUUUUUAUGUGUGAAAAAUAGACAUUUCGAUGAGUAUUUCAAAACUGAUUUCAUUCAAAUUGGAGUUAAAUUGGAUUUUUGGCAAAUUUUCGAAGUUGGCAUUAUUCUGCAGAAAAUAGAAAACUCUGCAGCCUAGUCUAUUUUGGAUUUAGUCUUUGACUGGCUUCCUUAACUCGGAAUUCGAUGAACUUUUGAUAUGUUGAAGUUUUAUAUGUCUACGUGUGAUCUGGAAAUUUUUACACCAUUUUGAAUCAAAAUGGAUUUUUAAUGAUUUCCCAAAGGCAAAGUGUUCCUGCCUAAAUUGUUUAACAUGUGAUUGCAGUUUCUGUUUUUAAUGGAAGUCUUUGAUUUUUUUUAUUAGUCCAGAGCAGAAUCAUGAUCAGAGGCUUUCCUAAGAGAUAGAAUUGUCCUAAGAAAUGGAUAUAUUGGUUUAACAAACCCAACAAGUGGAAGUGGGUUGUAAAUCAAAGUGUUAAUGUGAGUAUGUUGAUCCUUGUUGUUUAUAGGGAUUUCUGACUGUCUUGGAGCUCUACUGGGAAAGAACAAGUUGCAGAGAAAGAAGGAGUUUAUAGGGAUUUAUGUAGAUAUUAUGAGUUCAUCCACACCUAGCACCAUAGCUCCAACUACUUUUCAAUGUUAGGAGGAAUUUAAUUUGGGUUGUAAUGUAUAUUUGGUUGAAUUUGGGUUGUAUUUGGCUAGUAAUUUAUUUUGUUGAAGUUUGAUUUAAUUUGGGUUGUAAUUUAUAUGUUGAAGUUGGAUUGAAUUUGGAUUGUAUUUUUGUUGAAGUUGGAUUCAUUUUGAUGAUGUUGAAGUUGGAUUGAAUUUUUGUUGAAGUUGG